rnacentral:rRNA from 1 species
UACGUAGGGGGCGAGCGUUGCCCGAAUUUACUGGGCGUAAAGCGCACGUAGGCGGCUCCGUAAGUCUGGUGUGAAAUCUCACGGCUCAACCGAGAGGCUGCACCGGAUACUGCGGAGCUCGAGGACGGGAGAGGAGAUCGGAAUUCCCGGUGUAGCGGUGAAAUGCAUUGAUAUCGGGAGGAACACCAGUGGCGAAGGCGGAUCUCUGGCCCGUUGCUGACGCUGAGGUGCGAAAGCUGGGGGAGCGAAAGGG